ACUCAAAGGAAUUGACGGGGGCUCACACAAGCGGUGGAGGAUGUGGCUUAAUUCGAGGCUACGCGAAGAACCUUAUCCUAGUCUUGACAUGCACGGAUGGUCCGCCUGAAAGGGAUGGGCCUGCCUUCGGGUGAAACGUGCACAGGUGCUGCAUGGCUGUCGUCAGCUCGUGUCGUGAGAUGUCGGGUUAAGUCCCUUAACGAGCGAAACCCUUGUCUCUAGUUGCCAGCGGGUCAUGCCGGGGACUCUAGAGAGACUGCCGGUGUUAAACCGGAGGAAGGUGGGGAUGACGUCAAGUCCUCAUGGCCUUUAUGACUAGGGCUGCACACGUCCUACAAUGCCGCGUACAAAGGGACGCAAAACCGCGAGGUCAAGCAAAUCCCAAAAAGCGCGGCCCAGUUCGGAUUGCAGGCUGCAACUCGCCUGCAUGAAGCCGGAAUCGCUAGUAAUCGCCGGUCAGCAUACGGCGGUGAAUAUGUUCCUGAGCCUUGCACACACCGCCCGU
rnacentral:rRNA from 1 species